rfam:Desulfosporosinus sp. OL contig00005, whole genome shotgun sequence.
GAAUCACGGUUGAAACAAGGUUUGUCAUGAGGAGUCAGCAGAUACCAUAGUACCCGAGGAAGUCGACAUCAUCGGGGAAGGGU